AGCCGCCGCCCGCUCGCGCCGCCGCCGGUGGGGGGGGGGGGGGAGGGCGUGGGGGAGGGGGCGGCUGCGGCGCCGCGCGGCCAGCCGGGUCCCGAGCCUCCGCGGCCGCUCGCGCUCGCUCGCUCGCUCCCUCUCUCGCUCCCUCGCUCGCAGGCUCUCUCGCUCCCUCUGCCCCCCCCCGCCCCCGCUUCCCCGCUCAGCGCAUUACUGGGUAACGCAGUGAGGAGCAGUUACAGUCUGUACUCCCGGGCAGCUAUAGGCUGCCACAGGAUGUGCUUAAGCAAACAAAACUACUUUUCCUCAUCCCCAUCCCCCAAGCCCCGCCGCAGACCUUCGCGGACCUCGGUGGAGGACUUGGACAACUUUGCCAGCAUUGUAAUCUCUCCAACGAAGCUUUCUGUGGGAAUAGAUCGUCGGCAGAGGAGAAGAGAAAUGUCCUAAAAGCUAAGCCGAGUUACAGAGACAACCUUCCUGGCCACGGAAACCUUUGCUGGGAUCUAUAACUUCAACUCGCUCCAAGUUUCCUCGAUAGAAGUUUCUGGCUGACGGUCCCAACAUGUAACUGAGGCACAGUGAGAAGUUAUUGUUCCGUGUGUACUCUUGGGAAGCUCUCUUCCAGAGCAGAUUAAAAUCUUUCUUUUGGUGUAUUAAAAGAUAUACUUCA